rnacentral:rRNA from 1 species
UACAGAGGUCUCAAGCGUUGUUCGGAUUCAUUGGGCGUAAAGGGUGCGUAGGCGGCGCGGUAAGUCGGGUGUGAAAUCUUGGAGCUUAACUCCGAAACUGCAUUCGAUACCGCCGUGCUUGAGGACUGGAGAGGAGACUGGAAUUUACGGUGUAGCGGUGAAAUGCGUAGAUAUCGUAAGGAAGACCAGUGGCGAAGGCGGGUCUCUGGACAGUUCCUGACGCUGAGGCACGAAGGUCAGGGGAGCAAACGGG